GGGCCUAUAGCUCAGUUGGUUAGAGCGCACGCUUGAUAAGCGUGAGGUUGAUGGUUCAAGUCCAUCUAGGCCCAUCA
rnacentral:tRNA from 1 species